GUGUGAACCCCCCUCCCCCUUUCCGCACAAUGGUUUUACGCAAUAUGUCUUUAAUUUGCCUUAAUUUUUUGUUAAGAAUGAUUCCUGAACUGUCGGUCAACAAUGUCGCUCAAUGUGCUGUAACCAUGUUCAUCUUUGAUUGUACUAUUUACACUGAUACGUGAGCUUUUUUGAUGCUCACAAUCCCUUCCCCCUUUUUGUCUUCUGUACUCC